rnacentral:rRNA from 1 species
GAUUGUAGGCUGCAACUCGCCUACAUGAAGUCGGAAUCGCUAGUAAUCGCGGAUCAGCAUGCCGCGGUGAAUACGUUCCCGGGCCUUGUACACACCGCCCGUCACACCAUGAGAGUUUGUAACACCCAAAGCCGGUGGGGUAACCUUUUGGAGCCAGCCGUCUAAGGUGGGACAGAUGAUUGGGGUGAAGUCGUAACAAGGUAGC